CAGAGGAGUUUGAAGUCUUGUAUUGAGCGUUUGAUUAUAACCUACGGCCUUUCAUAAUCUGUUACGGUUAUAUAUUGUAUAUCAAACGCACGUAAUUAUCAAGUGAUAUGAAAAUGCGUAAAUAGCUAUAGUUUAAUUCAUAAGUACAGCAUAGCGUGUUUUUGUGUAACCAUGAUUCCCGCCAUCUGUCUUGUUUACUUCCACUUCCGGUGUAAACAACACCGCUGAACAGCCAUGUGAGAAUCUCCACCUACUGAUACUCGCCAUUCCACAAAUAAUGACGGCAACAGAGUCCGCUUCAGACUGGCAAUGUGGGAAGAGACUUCAUGAGUGUUUUGAUCACCUCUUCACAUCUGGUUUAGCAGCCGACGUCACCUUUCUUGUCGGCAAACACCAGAAAAGAGUUACGGCCCACAGACUGGUCCUCAUCAGCAGAAGUCCAGUAUUCUACGCCAUGUUGGAGGGUCCAAUGGCAGAGAAAGGGGAGAUAACCAUACCAGAUAUAUCGGAGAAAAUUUUCAUAGGAUUUCUAAGGUUCCUGUAUACAGACAGAAUCUGCUUUACAGAAAAGAAUGUAUUUCCAAUUUUGAAUGCUGCCAGGAAGUACUGUGUGGAUAUUCUCGUCUCUCGCUGUGAGAAGUUCCUGAGUAGUAACCUAUCAGAAGCAAAUGCUUGUCUGUUUAUGGAACAUGCUCAUUUGUACUCUAUGGAUCAAAUAAAAAUGGACUGUCUCAAGUUAAUUUCAGGAUCUGCUAACAGCUAUACUGCAGUCUUCAUCAUUUACUGAGCUUUGUAAAAGUUGUGUGACUAGUAUCCUUGAAUUUGAAGACUUAAAUAUUGAGGAGACUGAUGUUUAUAAGGCCAUCAUCAACUGGGCUGGGGCAGAAUGCAGACGGCAAGAACUAGAGGUAACAUCUGAAAACAGAAGAACGGUUUUGGGGGAUAUUCUGUAUAAUGUCCGCUUUCCUCUGAUGGAUUAUGAUUUCUUCCAAAAAGUAGUUUGUCACGACAAAACACUUCCCAGUGAGGAUGUCAUACAAGUCAUCAACUAUCAUCACCACCGAGAGAAAGUUUCCAACAGUAAGCUUAAUCUUAAGAUGAGACCCCGAGGCUUACACAAGUUGUGGCGCGUAGAAGGAACCAGAAGUCGUAGAUGGUCAAAUGGUUUGGAGUCUGUGUCAGUUUUAGUAUCUGAUACUGUCUAUUUAAAAGGAUUUGGAUCAUACUAUACAGAGGGCUAUAACAAAGUCAAUGUGGCCAUUUAUGAAAAUGAAACGGUAAUUCACAAAGCUGAUGCAGUGUCCAGAGUCGCAAGUGGAUCAGAUGACAUCGGGGACGUUUUGUUAGGAAGAGAAGAACAAAUCUGUUUCAAACCUGGUAUCCUGUACACUAUAACAGAAUUCACAGAAGCCAAACGAAAAUGCCAUGGCACACGUACUUAUGGCGGUCCAAUAUUUUUCAAACAAAACAAGUUAGUUUUUCUUAAGCCUCAUCCUCCACUAACAUCAACUUGUGGCCUUGUCUCAAAUCAAAUACCUUAUAUCAUCGUAGGGAAAGAAAGAUCUUGACUGGAAUUCAAGUUACAGAUGGAACAGCUGUGGCAUUUCACAUGCACCAAAAACAUUGUUUGUACAUGAGCUUGUAUUGUACAACUGUGCAGAUUGAUACAAUCGGACGAUCACUAUUACAGAGUGACAAAAAAUAUAGAAUGGUUCGUAUCAAGGAAGAGUGUAUAAAUUAUAAUCCAAAUCAAAAUUGUUUUGAAUGGAAGUCUAUGUUCAUAUGAAAUGUCAAACGAAGCUUUUAUUUUUUGCACAUAGACCUUUACACAUGAAUAAUUAUAUUCCAUUAAUCUACUUUUGCGUUUUUGUCAAAUUAUUCUGAAUGUUUAAACAUUAUUUCCUAAUCCAUGUAAGUGUAUAUCAAUCGCGAUAGUUUUCACACACAAAUUUUGUUUUGAUUGCCAUAUUGUUAGACAUUCACAAUAUAAUCACGCAUUUCAUUUAUUCACAUCAGACAUUGUGUUCAUGUAGCUUAACAUUGUUAACACGUAGCGUAACAUUGUUAAUACGUAGCGUAGCAUUGUUAACACGUAGCGUAGCAUUGUUAACACGCAGCGUAACAUUGUUAAUACGUAGCGUAACAUUGUUAACACGCAGCGUAACAUUGUUAAUACCUAGCGUAACAUUGUUAACACGUAGCGUAACAUUGUUAAUACAUAGCGUAACAUUGUUAAUACAUAGCGUAACAUUGUUAAUACGUAGCUUAACAUUGUUUACACGUAGCGUAACAUUAUUAACACACAGCGUAACGGUGUAUACUCCUACAACUGUUCUAACAAUGGUUCUAGUCAUAUUUUCAUACUGUGGAAUGAAUUACACCAGUAGAAUUUUUUUUCCGUUUCUAAAAUUCCACUACAACCUAAUGGGGAAUCCCCUGUAUACAAACCCUGAAUACUUCAACCCACCAUCAUCAGAUGGUAGGCUAAUCAAAUCGCCUUGCGUCCGUGGUCCGUCCGUAAACAAUUCGUGUUUUUUGAGAAAGUAAUAAAGUGAUCUUUCUCCUAUUUCUUAUGUAGGUUCCCCUUUGUGCUUAGUUAUGCAUAUUGUAUUUUGGGACCGAUCGGAAAACAACAUGGCCGACAGGCAGCCAUUUUGGAUUUUGACAAUUGAAGUUUGUUAUCGCUAUUUCUUAGGAAGAACUGUUGUUAUCUUUCUGAAAUUGCAUAUAUAUGUUGCCCUAGGUUCCUAGGUGUGCAUAUCUCAUUUUUGGACUGUUCGGAAAACAACAUGGCCGACAGGCAGCCAUCUUUGAUUUUGACAAUUGAAGAUUGUUAUCGCUAUUUCUGGGAAAGUACUGAAGAGAUCUUU